UUUUUUUUUUAUUUAUAAUAUCUUGUAGAUUAUAUUUGCCUAGCUAGGAGUGCUCAAGCAUGUUCUUCUUGUUUCUUUUGCAACAGAGUGAAGUCUUAUAGGGACACCACUUCAAUUCAAUAGUCAUGUCAAGAAGGCAAGUGAAUUCCACUCGGCGGUUUACAAGCAGUGGAAUCUCUCCAUUUAGUGGACUUUCUCAUUCAAAAUCGCCUGUUUCUCCUCUAUUACCUGUUGUUCUUGUUUUUCUGGUACAAAAUAUGCUUUAUUUAUUUCUUUCUACUUUAUUAUUUUUUUAUGAGGUUAUAUCUACUUGUGCCCUUUUCAUGUCAACACCGGCCUGCGACUACUAGUCUUCCCCUCUCCUCCCCUCCAAAAAAAAUAUAGAAUACAACAUUCAUGUUAUGGUCUUCAGCAUGUAAAACCAUACAUCAUCCUGAAAUUUCAUUUUCCAAUUGACUGUUUGUUCCUUUCUGAUAAUCAGGGUGCAAUAUUUUUCAUUGGCUACUUUUAUAGAGGCUCAGGUAUGUUUUUGAUUUGUUGAAAGAUGGAAUAUUGGUACUGAUAGUCUUUCAUUUUCUAGACCAAAGCUAUUGAUAUUAGGUGUCAAACUCUUCGAG
rnacentral:lncRNA from 1 species